rnacentral:tRNA from 1 species
AGAAAAUUAGGAUAGACCGAAACCAAAGGCCUUCAAAGCCUUAAACAAGAGUUAAACCCUCUUAGUUUCUG